CUGGAUUGAAGGAUUCGUGGUCAAGAACUAUCCUGGAAAAAAGUAUAUGAUAAAAUUGGCAAGGAUCUACAGAGAUAUCAUGGCGAAUCUAGCUCGCCGCCGGGAUGAAAGGAGAAAAUGUCGCAGUGAGUCAUCUCCACAUAGCUUAAUUUGGUCGGUGCACGGUUUUGUUGUCUGCCUUUGCCGAUGUAAUCGCCGUCUCACCUCUGGCCGCAUCCCGGCGGCGAGCAGCCACUGCCUACGGCGCCAGCGAGGAACAUGAACGCGACGAGUGGCACGGCGAGCACUGCGAGCAAGGUGGACGC
rnacentral:lncRNA from 1 species